rnacentral:rRNA from 1 species
CAGUCGCCACGGUAAUACGUAGGGUGCAAGCGUUAAUCGGAAUUACUGGGCGUAAAGCGUGCGCAGGCGGUUAUAUAAGACAGAUGUGAAAUCCCCGGGCUCAACCUGGGAACUGCAUUUGUGACUGUAUAGCUAGAGUACGGCAGAGGGGGAUGGAAUUCCGCGUGUAGCAGUGAAAUGCGUAGAUAUGCGGAGGAACACCGAUGGCGAAGGCAAUCCCCUGGGCCUGUACUGACGCUCAUGCACGAAAGCGUGGGGAGCAAACAGGAUUAGAUACCCCUGUAGCCCUGUCUCUUAUACA